UUUAUAGCCCGUUGCUGGAUUCUUUGACAGUUGGGAGUAAAAGCAGUUCGCUGCUCAUUGUAAUCUCAAUAUCUCCAAAUGUUUUUGUCCAGAUUUUUUGUCCAACCCAGACCGCCUGCAAAAUAUCAGUGUUUGGAUCAUGACGAUGUUGUUGCGGGUGGAGCAAUAUCUGGUAAUAUUAUAUUGAUAAAGCUGAAAUACACUUCACAUUAAAAUCGUGCGUGUGGUGGUGUAAUGAACUGCCCCUCUAUGAUCCCAGAACUUGGGUUGUAGCAGUUAUCCAUGACUGAUAAUGGCAAGGGGUUCCUAACAAAACGUGCAUUUUAAACAUUGUCAAAUAGGUUUAUCCUUAAUCAUUGGAAGGUUAGCUCAUCGAGAAAGAACAACGAGGUUACUUUGAUGAUCAGAACAUCUGCCAACAACUAGGCAGAUUGCCGUAAAACAUAACAAAAAAAACUGUAUUAAAUACCAUGAUAUUAUCUUCAGUGUUGAGAGAACACACCUGGGAGUCGAGAUUUUUUUCUUUCCUUUGU
rnacentral:lncRNA from 1 species